rnacentral:misc_RNA from 1 species
AGUGAUGCUUAUCAAGCCACAGGCUGCUACAACUUGCUAUGCUCAGGUUUUAUUCAAAUCAAUAAUGAAAUAGCAAUGGGGGCCACCAUUUCCCCUCUUUCUAGCUAUCAUGGUUCACAAUAUGAUAUAAGCAUUCUUGUCUGGAAGGACCCAAAAGAGGGGAACUGGUGGAUGCAAUUUGGGAAUGACUAUGUACUGGGAUAUUGGCCAGGCUUUUUAUUUUCAUACUUAACAGACAGUGCUUCAAUGAUUGAAUGGGGUGGGGAAGUGGUGAAUUCAGAAUCUGAUGGUCUUCACACCACUACUCAAAUGGGGAGUGGCCAUUUCCCUGACGAAGGAUUCGGAAAAUCGAGCUAUUUCAGGAAUAUACAGGUAGUUGAUGAAUCGAAUAACUUGAGAGCUCCUCAAGAUCUUGGGACUUACACUGAGGAUAACAAUUGUUAUGAUGUUCAGCUAGGGAAGAAUAAUGACUGGGGUAACUACUUUUACUAUGGUGGACCUGGUAGAAAUGCUAAUUGUCCAUGACCACGAUUUCGAAAAUGUUUCUUUUUCUUUGUAAUCUUGACAUGAAUUCUUGUAUGCUCAUUGUUUUACUCUUUGUAAAACUUUUAUUCUAGAGGGGGCUAUAGGUUAGUUGCAUCAAAAAUGUGUAUGCAUCUUUGAUCUUAAAUUGUAUGAAAAGUUCUUUCGCUUUUUUUUCUUUUUUUCGAAGGUGUCUGUCUCUACAUGAAAUGUUGUUGGAGAUAGAAUGGAGGUUGAAAAUUUCUAAAUGUAAAAUUGUUACUGUUUGUUUGUUCCUGUCUUAGGAGCUAGCUAUCAA